rnacentral:rRNA from 1 species
GACGAACGCUGGCGGCAUGCCUAAUACAUGCAAGUCGAGCGGAAUGACGAGAGCUUGCUCUCUGAUUUUAGCGGCGGACGGGUGAGUAACACGUGGGCAACCUGCCCUACAGAUGGGGAUAACUCCGGGAAACCGGGGCUAAUACCGAAUAAUCAGUUUGUCCGCAUGGACAAACUCUGAAAGACGGUUUCGGCUGUCACUGUAGGAUGGGCCCGCGGCGCAUUAGCUAGUUGGUGGGGUAAUGGCCUACCAAGGCAACGAUGCGUAGCCGACCUGAGAGGGUGAUCGGCCACACUGGGACUGAGACACGGCCAG